rnacentral:rRNA from 1 species
AUGCAAGUCGAGCGAACAGACGAGGAGCUUGCUCCUCUGACGUUAGCGGCGGACGGGUGAGUAACACGUGGGUAACCUACCUAUAAGACUGGGAUAACUCCGGGAAACCGGGGCUAAUACCGGAUAACACAUGAAACCGCAUGGUUUCACGAUGAAAGACGGUUUUGCUGUCACUUAUAGAUGGACCCGCGGCGUAUUAGCUAGUUGGUAAGGUAACGGCUUACCAAGGCAACGAUACGUAGCCGACCUGAGAGGGUGAUCGGCCACACUGGAACUGAGACACGGUCCAGACUCCUACGGGAGGCAGCAGUAGGGAAUCUUCCGCAAUGGGCGAAAGCCUGACGGAGCAACGCCGCGUGAGUGAUGAAGGUCUUCGGAUCGUAAAACUCUGUUAUUAGGGAAGAACAAGGAUGUAAGUAACUGUGCACCCCUUGACGGUACCUAAUCAGAA